rnacentral:tRNA from 1 species
GGGCGAAUGGUCUAGGGGUAUGAUUUUCGCUUCGCAUCUUCAAAACUUGCGCCUGUGAAAGGUCCGGGGUUCAAAUCCCCGUUCGUCCA